GACCUAAUAGGGAAGCCGGCAUCCCAUCCACAAAUCAUCAAAUAGGGAUGGUGUGAGAUUCCGUGGAAAGUCCUGGUUCGAAUCCGGGUUGGGUCG